rnacentral:rRNA from 1 species
GACAGAGGUCCCGAGCGUUAGGCGGAAUCACUGGGCUUAAAGCGUGUGUAGGCGGAUUUGUAAGUACCUUGUGAAAUCCCACGGCUCAACCGUGGAACUGCUUGGUAUACUGCUUAUCUUGAGCCACCUAGGGGCAACCGGAACAAACGGUGGAGCGGUGAAAUGCGUAGAUAUCAGGAGGAACACCGGUGGCGAAGGCGGUUCUCUGGGCAUGUCCUGACGCUGAGGAGCGAAAGUGUGGGGAGCGAACAGG